rfam:Triticum aestivum genome assembly, contig: Triticum_aestivum_CS42_TGACv1_scaffold_131032_2BL
CAAGUACUCCCUCCGUCCGGAAUUACUUGUCAUCAAAAUGGAUGUGUCUAGAACUAAAAUACAUCUAGAUACAUCCAUUUCAAUGACAAGUAUUUUCGUACGAAGGGAGUACAAG